rnacentral:rRNA from 1 species
AUUGAACGCUGGCGGCAGGCCUAACACAUGCAAGUCGAGCGAGUGGCGGACGGGUGAGUAAUGUAUGGGGAUCUGCCUGAUAGAGGGGGAUAACUACGGGAAACGGUGGCUAAUACCGCAUACUCUCGGAUGACCCCAUAUGGGAUUAGCUAGUUGGGGGGGUAAAGGCUAACAAAGGCGACGAUCUCUAGCUGGUCUGAGAGGAUGACCAGCCACACUGGGACGGAGAAACGGCCAAGACUCCUACGGGAGGCAGCAGUGGGGAAUAUUGGGCAAUGGGCGAAAGCCUGAUGGAGCAAGGCCGCGUGGAUGAAGAAGGUUUUCGGAGUGUAAAGCACUUUCUUUGGGGAGGCGUUAGCUGACGAGGAAGCCCCGGCUAACUCCGUGCCAGCAGCCGCGGUAAUUC